GGUGAGUAAAAAUUACUUUUAAAAAACGAAGGGGAAAUAAAAUAUAUAUAUAUAUAUAUUAUGUCGAUUAAACGUGCUUUGCAUGGUGAUAACAAAAGAACGAAGAAUUUUCAAUAUAUGCCCGGUAUAAAAACAAGGCACUUGUUUAAAACGACAAAAAAAAAGAUGGUUUAAAGAAACUUUUUUUGUUCUGAAAUAAUUUUGAUUUGAUACUUCUAUGUCUUCACUGUAAGCAUGUAAAAGAUUUUUUACAGGUUUCGGCGCUUUGGAAACGUUCUGCUACCGGACGCUUCUAAACACCACAAUACUACUACAAAUAUGUGUAUAAUGUAUAUUGAUAUGUGUUAUAUCGAUUAUGUAUAUCAUAUGUAAUAUAAAUUUUCUAUUUUAAUAUUUA